rnacentral:rRNA from 1 species
AGGUAGCGUAAUAAUUAGCCUCUUAAUUGGAGGCCAGUGAAUGGCAAGACUAGGGAUACCUGUACCCUGUAUAGAAAAACAACUUUUCAUUUGGGUGAAAAGACCCAAAUAAUAAAGGAAGACGAAAAGACCCCGCGGAACUUUACCUCUUCUAGUCUCCACAUGCUUAGAAACACAAAGAUAAAAGGUUUGAUUGGGGCAAUCUCGGAACCACCCAAACUUCCGAUUUACAACUUAAAAUAUAUAAAACUUAAUAAGGACCAAAAAGAAGUUACCCCGGGGAUAACAGCGUAAUCCAACUGAGAGUACACAUCGAAA